ACCCUUCAGCGCCCACUGCGGGGCCUCUUAAGGAAUCUAUGCUUCCAAACGAUCAUAUAACUGUUAAAGCAGCGAGUAAUAUUAUGUAUUCCUUUAGAAAAGGUUCUGGAAUUGAAACCUCAUUUUAAUAAAAAACCUGGACAUAGUA